GAAUUAAUUGUUUGCUCGUGGACUUCAGGGCAAUGUCACGUCUUGUGAAGUGUAACCCUAUGAACUGUAGAUUGGUAAUUUCCUGUUCAUUAAGUCCCACGAGCUGAGCAUGAAUUAUGUACCUCAUGAAUGAUCAAAUAUCUUGAUGUUACUACGUGCAAUAAAUUGUUUUACUGUGACCGUUUGUUAGCUGAUCAUCGGAUCUCUAUUCCAGGACUGCCUGCAGGCAGUCCUGGACAACUUAUCCAAUCUUGCGUCUCGGGAGGCGGGUUUCCAAGCCUCCAUUCUUCGACAGCCGGUGACUUGGGUUGGAAAUUCAACAGAAGCGCCCGAGCCUGCUGGAGUCGGGCUGGGGCCAAAUUGUGUUGUCAUAAGAGCCUCUUGUUACCAAGACUCUAGACUCGUCCCUGUGCUCCCCACUCCUGAACUUAAAAGCCCCCAAACGAACAAAAUCUCACCGUGAUCAAAUCUACACUUGGUCGUGGGUCGGCAUCGGUGAGAUGGCGACUCGUUAGACCUCCUUGUUCAAUUCAUUGGCAGCUUGGCCUGGCGGUGCAGGUUAACGGUCUUCGACGAGCCCGCGAAUAGAAUCAUUAGUUUCGUCAUCUCCUCGUCAUCGUAACUAAAUCGAAACACCCGUCGGGAGCUGGCUUCGUUUCUACCUUCCCUUCACAUUCAUCGGGAAUAGAAGAGAAAAAUCGACGGUCAACUCUCCUCCUUGUCACUUCUGGCGCUCGGUUGCAGUAAAUAAUGGCACUAGCCUUGCUCGGCAAUAUACAUGCAAAUUGCCAUUAAUUUGGCCACUGAGAAAAAAAUGAGAUUGCUUCCCCUGUUUGCUUAACGCCAAGGAGAUCGUAGCGCUGCUGGGUUAGAAUUCGUUACUUGCUUUGCCGGGCAAAAUCCAGGGAGGAUUGCGUGCUCCGCUGUUAUGCAUGAUGGAUUUUUCGAUAUUCCGUACGCUGCGUGUGUCAACUUACCAAGUAUCUCGAGAGUCAGGAAUAAUUUAAUGGAGAUAUGAGGUUAAUUUUACUCUUAUAGCCUCGCUUAAUGGCAUUUUUUAAACGGCUUCUGGUCAUAAAAUAUACGAAGUAAUAAAAAUUUAUUUUAAUGUGUGUGCCACAGAAAAAUAUAAUCAAUUUCUAUACAUUUCUACCUAUACCUAUAAUGACAGGAGAACAAAUUUUCUUGAGGUUGAGAGACAAUCUUCCUCUAGUCGUGCAUAAUAUAAAUGUACAGCUUUUUUAAAUAAAAAAAUUAAACUUCGAGAAUUGUUGACAUCUAAUUUGCGAAUUUGUAGCAAAAUGUUUUUUAUUUGUGUUUCCUUGUAGUUUCCCAGAUAUUUCCAUUUCAGUUCCUAUGCUUCUAUCACAUGUAUCAUUUAUAGGAAGUUUCACGAGGCGCCCUGGGCAUGACGGCGUCACUCGGUCUCAUAAUAGCCUUGAUGGCUCGGCCUCCUCUUGCCGCCAAUAAGAAGAUAUUGUUUUAGAAGAGCCAUAAGGGCAAGUCUGCUCUCGUGUCUCAGCAGGGCUCUCUAUGGGGGUCCAUUUGAUGACGGUAUCAGGCCAACCAAACUGGCCCCGCCACUUAACUGCAUUAGCUCAAUGAUAAUAAAUAAUUCCUUCCAUUGUAUUCAUUGCCGUUCGAUGUUAUACGACGUGCCGCAGCCAAAGCGGGAAAAUAUACAGCAAUUGCAUUCAAUUGAUCGCACUUGAUCCA